GAUGAACGCUGGCGGCGUGCCUAAUACAUGCAAGUCGAGCGAACAGACGAGGAGCUUGCUCCUCUGACGUUAGCGGCGGACGGGUGAGUAACAUGUGUAUAAACUACCUAUAUGACUGGGAAAACCUCGGGAAAACGGAGCUUAUACCGGAUAAUCUAUUGAACAGCAAGGAGGAAUAGUGAAAGACGGCUUUGCAGUCACUUUUCGCUGAUUCCGCGCCGCAUUAGCUAGUGGGUAAGGUAACGGCUCACCAAGGCGACGAUGCGUAGCAGACCUGAGAGGGUGAUCGGCCACACUGGAACUGAGACACGGUCCAGACUCCUACGGGAGGCAGCAGUAGGGAAUAUUGCGCAAAGGGCGAAAGCUUGACGGAGCAACGCCGCGUGUGUGAUGAAGGCCUUCGGGUCGUAAAGUUCUGUUAUUGGGGAAGAACAAAUUUGUAAUUAACUAUGCACGUCUUGACGGUACCUGAUCAGAAAGCACCGGCUAACUACGUG
rnacentral:rRNA from 1 species